UACGGGGGGGGCAAGCGUUAAUCGGAAUUACUGGGCGUAAAGGGCUCGUAGGCGGCCAACUAAGUCGGACGUGAAAUCCCCAGGCUCAACCUGGGAACUGCGUCCGAUACUGGAUGGCUUGAAUCCGGGAGAGGGAUGCAGAAUUCCAGGUGUAGCGGUGAAAUGCGUAGAUAUCUGGAGGAAUACCGGUGGCGAAGGCGGCAUCCUGGACCGGCAUUGACGCUGAGGAGCGAAAGCCAGGGGAGCAAACGGG
rnacentral:rRNA from 1 species